AUGCACCAGUCGACUUGUGAUACUAAACACAACAGGAGGUUCACUUUGAUAGUUUCGCUGUCUGCUGCGUCGAGCUUGGUUUUCGCCUGUCUUGCAUGUCUGAUGUACCGCCAGAAGAAGAAAAUCAGAUCAGCAAUAUUCAGAAUUUACUCUCGCAAUACAUCAAAUAUCGACGAAAUGCUAAGAAAAUGUGAAUCUCAUGCCCCGAAGAGGUAUAAGUACUCACAGCUGAAGAAAAUAACAAGAUCAUUCAAGGAUGUGCUGGGAGAAGGUGGAUAUGGUGUGGUAUACAAGGGAAGCCUGCAGGAUGGCAGAAUGGUUGCAGUGAAGCUAUUGAAAGGAUCAAAAGGCAACAGAGAAGACUUUCUGAACGAAGUUAUGAGCAUCGGCCGGACUACUCAUGUCAACAUUGUCAGUCUGCUCCGUUUUUGUUUAGAUGGAUCUCACCGAGCACUUAUAUACGAGUACAUGUCCAAUGGUUCUUUGCAGAACCACAUUUAUUCAGAGAGUUCCAAACAAGCCAUCGGAUGGGAGAUGUUCCUAAAGAUUGCGAUCGGUAUCGCACGAGGGUUGGAGUAUCUACACCAGGGUUGCAACACCCGCAUCAUCCAUUUCGAUAUCAAGCCUAACAACAUCCUUCUAGAUGAUGAGUUAUGUCCCAAAAUUGCAGACUUUGGUAUGGCAAAGCUAUGCCACCUCAAGGAGAGCGUCCUUUCAAUGGCCGAAGCGAGAGGGACGGUUGGUUUCAUCGCACCAGAAGUGUUCUCUAGAGGCUUUGGACUCGUCUUGAGAAAGUCUAAUGUUUACAGCUAUGGGAUGAUGCUCCUAGAAAUGGUCCAAGGGAAGAAGGAUGAGAAAGGAAAGGCAGACAGCCAGUGGCGGAGCCACCUCCCGGCGACCCCGGGCGGCUGCCCGGGCUAG
rnacentral:rRNA from 1 species